GACCUUUCUGGUGGCAUAGUGGUUAGAGCGGCCGUCAUGAAUACGGGAGGUCGUGGGUUCAAUUCCCGGCUGAGUCA